CAAAUUUUUGCAACUCUGUAGUGUCUCACUUUUAAAGGAACAGCUUGAUUGCAAAGGAGAAAAUAGAUAAGCAAUGAAGUUAUCUCCAACUUCCUAAAGGCUUAUGACUUCUAAAAAGUGAAUCUAUCAGCAUUCCACAUCAGAUUUAAAGCAUCAAAUGCCUGUGAAACAGCAAAGAUGGUUGAUGAUUUUGCUCAUUGUGGUCGUGGAGUGCUGAUUGAUUCACAGUAGAUAAAGCUGGCAGUAAGAGAAAUGCUAAGAUGGAGUUUCACUCUUGUUGCCCAGGCUGGAGUGCAAUGGUGUGAUCUCGGCUGGCUGCAGCCUUCACCUCCCGGGUUCAAGCGACUCUCCUGCCUCAGCCUCCGGAGUAGCUGGGAUUACAGGUGUGCGCUACCAUGCCCGGCUAAUUUUUUGUAUUUUUAGUAGAGACGGGGUUUCACCAUAUUGGUCAGGCUGGUCUCAAACUCCUGACCUCAGGUGAUCCACCCGUCUCAGCCUCCCAAAGUGCUGAGAUUACAGGCAUGAGCCACCGCGCCCGGCCGGACACCAUUCUUUUUGAAUGAAACAGUCUAAUUCCAGAGAAUGAGCCUUCCAGUUUGAAUGCAAAGUGUGUGGUCCCAAAGUUGAAUUCUUUUGAAUCCAAGUACAUGCCUGCGGUUGGGAGGAACACUUAAGGAUGAAGCAAGUUUGGAGGAAAGUGUUAACUGAACUACAGAGAUGGUCACUGAUAAAACAAGUUCUUAGAAGUUCUCAGACACACCCAGAGGUGAAGGGCAGCCAAAACUAUCAACACAAUGGAAAAAUGAGCUCACCCAACUGCACACACAGAGCUUCUAGAA
rnacentral:sRNA from 1 species